GUCCCGAAAGGACAUUAGAUAAAAUUGGAACGACACAAAAAAAAUUACAUAAUCCCUGCUUAAGGAUGACACGAUGCAAAUGAAGAUCUGGUCCAUAUAUAU
rnacentral:snRNA from 1 species